rnacentral:rRNA from 1 species
GACGAACGCUGGCGGCGUGCUUAACACAUGCAAGUCGAACGAUGAAGCCGGAGCUUGCUCUGGUGAAUUAGUGGCGAACGGGUGAGUAACACGUGAGUAACCUGCCCUUGACUCUGGGAUAACUGCGGGAAACUGUAGCUAAUACCGGAUACGACCCUCGGAGGCAUCUCCUGGGGGUGGAAAGAAUUUCGGUCAAGGAUGGACUCGCGGCCUAUCAGCUAGUUGGUGAGGUAAAGGCUCACCAAGGCGACGACGGGUAGCCGGCCUGAGAGGGUGACCGGCAACCCUGGGACUGAGACACGGCCCAGCCUCCUGCGGGAGGCAGCAGUGGGAAAUAUUGCACAAUGGGCGCAAGCCUGAUGCAGCAACGCCGCGUGAGGGAUGACGGCCUUCGGGUUGUAAACCUCUUUUAGCAGGGAAGAAGCGAAAGUGACGGUACCUGCAGAAAAAGCACCGGCUAACUACGUGCCAGCCGCCGCCGUAA